GGUCAAUGAUGAAUAGUAAAAGGUCUGACACCCCAGAUCCCCUCCCUGCAUCUCACCUUAUCCCCAGCUGCCUCUCCUCAUCAGGCUCUAGGAGUGCUGUGAUGAGCAGAAGGGUAGCUGACACUCUGUGAUGUCCCCAUUCUGUGUUCCUUGGCAAGCUCAAGGAAGAUGCUGUGGUUGGCAUCCAACAACUUAUUCACACAGGGGUUUUUGAUUGUUUGGGAGUGCUGGUAUCUGUGGCUAUGAUCUGACUUUUCAAGCUGAGACC
rnacentral:snoRNA from 1 species